rnacentral:rRNA from 1 species
UACGGAAGGCAGCAGUGGGGAAUAUUGCACAAUGGGCGCAAGCCUGAUGCAGCCAUGCCGCGUGUAUGAAGAAGGCCUUCGGGUUGUAAAGUACUUUCAGUCGUGAGGAAGGUGUUAAGGUUAAUAACCUUAGCAAUUGACGUUAGCGACAGAAGAAGCACCGGCUAACUCCGUGCCAGCAGCCGCGGUAAUACGGAGGGUGCGAGCGUUAAUCGGAAUUACUGGGCGUAAAGGGCACGCAGGCGGUUAAUUAAGUUGGAUGUGAAAUCCCCGGGCUUAACCUGGGAAUGGCAUUCAAGACUGGUUAGCUAGAGUCUUGUAGAGGGGGUAGAAUUCCAUGUGUAGCGGUGAAAUCGUAGAGAUGUGGAGGAAUACCGGUGGCGAAGGCGGCCCCGUGGACAAGCUGGACGCUCAGUGUGACGAAGCGGUGGGAGCAAACGAGGUAUUAGACUA